GUAUCACGAAUAAAAUGCUGUGCUAUUUAGAUAUACAUAAAUACUAAAUACAAUUGCUUUAGUUCAUCGCAUUCUUGAUUCGGGGUGUUACAAGUAGAAGCAGGAAUUGUAUCGAUGGAUAAGGGGAGCAAUGAGAUGCCAUCAAGUAAAAUUGAGUAAAAAGCUUGCUCAUUUGACUGCAUUGAUCUCCUUUUUGUCAUGUGGUGCCUCAAUUUUGAAACAUUUUUUAUAUCAUAUGCAUGGCCUAUCAAGAAAGGUUGAG
rnacentral:lncRNA from 1 species